UACGGGGGGGGGCAAGCGUUGUUCGGAAUUACUGGGCGUAAAGGGCUCGUAGGCGCCAACUAAGUCAUACGUGAAAUCCCUCGGCUUAACCGGGGAACUGCGUCUGAUACUGGAUGGCUUGAGUUCGGGAGAGGGAUGCGGAAUUCCAGGUGUGCGGUGAAAUGCGUAGAUAUCUGGAGGAACACCGGUGGCGAAGGCGGCAUCCUGGACCGAUACUGACGCUGAGGAGCGAAAGCGUGGGGAGCGAACAGG
rnacentral:rRNA from 1 species